CGGGCAUAAUGAGGAUGACCUUGAUGUGUCUGAUCUAAUUGAUGAGAAAUACCUUCUACUCAUUCUGA
rfam:Zea mays cultivar B73 chromosome 9, whole genome shotgun sequence.